UGGGGAAUAUUGCACAAUGGGCGCAAGCCUGAUGCAGCCAUGCCGCGUGUGUGAAGAAGGCCUUCGGGUUGUAAAGCACUUUCAGCGAGGAGGAAGGGUUCAGUGUUAAUAGCACUGUUCAUUGACGUUACUCGCAGAAGAAGCACCGGCUAACUCCGUGCCAGCAGCCGCGGUAAUACGGAGGGUGCAAGCGUUAAUCGGAAUUACUGGGCGUAAAGCGCACGCAGGCGGUUUGUUAAGUCAGAUGUGAAAUCCCCGCGCUUAACG
rnacentral:rRNA from 1 species